rnacentral:tRNA from 1 species
UUAGAAAAAGCCAAUCUAUAGGCAAAUUAUUGUUGAUAAUUUAUACUACUUAUAAUAUAAGUCUUCUAAA